CAAAUACCUUCAAGAGACUGAGGAAGUGGAGAAUUAACAUUAUAAGGGUUGGUGUUGCUGAAACUGGGAAAACUUUCAGAUCACAGCAAAAUAAGGAGGAGAGGAUGGAAGACGCGAUAAGUCUAGACGCGAUAAAUUGACUCCCGAGUGCUCUCCUAUCGACUCCUGUACUCCACCACCGCGAGAGGCACAGGUAGAGUCGAGGGGGGAGCAGCAGCAGUCGACUCACCACAGUAAAGACACCACGGGCCAGCUUUGCCAAGGCUAUACAGAUGUCUCAAAAGGUGACAGCACAGGUAGAAUGGAAACCGCCUUCUGUGUUCCUACUCUUGGAAUCCAGAAAUCUAAAAGGCUAUUGAAUUAUAUGACUGCUGUGACGACUGGACUAAUGGGAAUAAUGUCGUCACUAACCUGGAUAAGAGGUGUGCGACUGGCUGCAGCUGUAAUUUUAUCUGAUUCCUUUUCAGGGAUAAUGACAAUCAGAACAGGGACUUUGGAAAGCAAAAAUGACAUGAGUGAAAUAAUAUUCAGAAAUAAUGCAAGCAUGUAUCUGUAUAACAAUAGCAUGUAUUUGUAUAACAAUAGCAUGAAUUCUAGUGCAUAUCAGAAUACCUGGAAAUGAGAUGGCUGACAAUGCAGCGAAACAUGAUCUAAAAAUUGAGGUGGAUAUUAAAAUACUGUAUCCUUAAGCAGACAAGAAUUCAAAAGUGUGGUCACAUAGGAACUUGUGAAGGAAUGGCAAGAAAUAUGGACUAAGGAAACAAAACGAUGAAGGUUCUAUGAUGUUUGCUCAAAAAUAUAAGAUAAUACUAUAAUCUGCAGUCAUGAUACAAAAUGUGAAGUAGUCAAGUUAA